rnacentral:lncRNA from 1 species
AGGUCACGGUUCUCGCCCUCCCUGGACCGUGCCGUGCCACCAGUUCCCUCCUGGGGCAGGUUCCAGGGGGCCACAGCCAUCGAGGCUCUGCCCACACCUGUCCCUGUGCCCGGGGAGCACAAGGCACUUCUUAUUCCCUGGAGAGCUCCGAGUCUGGCACAGAGGGCACGCGUUGUCACAGUGAGUCCACUGCCACGGGCAGUCAGUGGACACCAGAAGUCCUCCACCGGCGCCCCUCCUACAGGGCUGAGUCCCUCUCCCAUCCGGGACCCCCACCUCCGGGCGUAUCGGGAAGCAGAAGUGGGUUUGCUCACUGUCCCUUCCCCCAGCCCCCUCCUGUGGGCCACACUCCUGGGUAUCGGGCACUCGUUACUGUCCCUGUGCAAACCUGCCUGCACUGCACCCAGCGGCUCUGGCCUCGGAGGCCGCUCCUGGACACCUCGCGUCCACGUCCCAGGGAGCUGGGGUGCAGACCCAGGACCCCAUACGCCCACUGGGGCUGGAGAGCCGCCCUUCCCGCUGGUGGGUGAGUGUGGGGCCCCAAGGGCAGGACAAGGCAGCAGCCUCCUCUUGUGGACUCCCAGGGCCAGGAUCCCCAGGGCGCUGCCCACCUGGCCUGCACACACAGGGACGCACAGUGGCCAGCCCUCCUGUCUGGGCUGGCAAGGUGUGGUGUGUGAGCCCAAGUGUCACUCUGCCCAGUGUUGGGGACAGGGGCUGUGGCGUGAGGGGGGUCACGGGGAGACCCCGACCCGCCUGCACCCCAGGACCUGUGCUGCUCAGCCCUCAGCCAGACAACCCCCUCCCAGGCAGAGACACGUGGACGGCUGGCCCGGCCACGGCAUCCAGGAAGAGGGGAAGCCGGGGCCUCUGCUGGGGGGAGGGCGGCAGGCGUUUGUCCGUUCCAGCCCACUCCACCCCGGCCUGGGCCCAGGGAGCCCCUUCAGCGGUCAGGAUGGGAGUCCCGCUGGGCACUCAGGUAGCCAGCCCCGUUCCCAGCAAAAGAACCUCUCCUCUCCAGGCCCUUCUCAGAUCAGUGACCGCCCAGUGUGGCAGGCUGGCGCCCUCUGCAAGCCCCAGGCCUGUGGCCCCAGCCAGGGGCCUUGA